rnacentral:rRNA from 1 species
GAUGAACGCUGGCGGCGUGCCUUAUACAUGCAAGUCGAGCGAACGGACGAGAAGCUUGCUUCUCUGAUGUUAGCGGCGGACGGGUGAGUAACCCGUGGAUAACCUACCUAUAAUACUGGGAUAACUUCGGUGAACCGGAGCCAAUACCGGAUGAUAUUUUUAACCGCAUGGCUCAAAAGUGAAAGACGGUCUUGCUGUCACUUAGAGAUGGAUCCGCGUUGCAUUAGCUAGUUGGUAAGGUAACGGCUUACCACGGCAACGCUGCAUAGCCGACCUGAGAGGGUGAUAGGCCACGCUGGGACUGAGACACGGUCCAGACUCCUACGGGAGGCAGCAGGAGGGAAUCUUCAGCAAUGGGCGGAAGCCUGACGGAGCAAAGCCGCGUGAGUGAUGAAGGUCUUCGGAUCGUAAAACUCUGUUAUUAGGGAAGAACAUAUGUGUAAGAAACUGUGCACAUCUUGGCGGUACCUAAUGAGAAAGCCACGGCUAACUACGUG